ACGCGGUUUGUUAGUUCUGAUUGGCCGGGACUACCUCUCGACCCAGUUUCCUAGGAACCGCAUUCAAAAUGGUGGACAGCCAUGAAUUUAGUACUGAAAAAAUUGAUGUCGCACUGUAAAGUCAGGACGGUUCGUUCGACAGCUGUGUUACAAUUGAAAGCCUGUUCUAAAAAAGAGUAUUCUCCUCUUCACUUUGUACAUGGAUGGGUGAAGUAACUUCCACCCUCCGGGAUGAAAAUUCUCGUUUGUACUUCGACAGAUUGAAGUGAUAGUAAAUACUUCUGACAGAGGUGACUUGCAGGGAAAGUUUGGAUGCAAAGGACAACAUAUUGGAUUUGUUUUAUAUGUUAAAGAAGCUGCUUCCUGCAGAAACUAAGCGGAAAAGGAUUUCACCCUGGAUGUAAUGUUUGUUCUAACAAAUGACACAAUAUCAGUUGAUGAAUGAUAGAUGAUUUGGCAGCACUUGUGGGUGAUUUCUUUGAAGACCCACCUUUGGAAUCAUUCAAAAAGGCUUCAACAGAUGACUCAAUGCCAGUUGAUGAAAAAUAGAUGAUUUGGCUGCACUUGUCUGGGAUUUCAACAAGGAAGAGCCUUUGGAACCAUUUAAAAAGGUCGGACUCAAUGCUCGUAAAAUGGAUGCAAGCUGUUUUGAAAACCUUAAAAGCAGCUGUGGCGGUCCGUGGAAGUGUAACAUGCCCUAUUUCUCCAUAUGUCCAUUGGAGGGAGAAUCGUCUGAAAAACUAAUUUAAAACAGCUCCUAAAACGUUCUAGCUUUUUGCUUCCUGCGGAAGACGCCUCGUCCCAUCACAUGGGGGCUGAUGACGUCGCCUUUCAGUAAAUGAAGAAGCUAAAGAUGAAACUCACCUUUGAGGUUUUAACUGCACCACGUGAUCAGCUAGGCCUGGAUGGAAGAAAAACGGUUUAAUGCCCUCUUUAGCAGACAUUGUUCAUGCAAAGCUGAACAUACAAUUUGAAUUGUAAAUUGGCGAGUUUGUGGUGGUUUUUGUUAAUGAGGAGACACGUAUAAAUAUAUCGAGUUGAGUCUGUGUUUUUUACUUUCUAAAUUUCUGUCUUUCCGAAUCAAUCAA